rnacentral:rRNA from 1 species
CCUGACGGUAGUCGUAUGCUCGUCUCCGAGACUAAGCCAUGCAAGUCCAAGUACACGUCCUUGAACGACGGAAACUGCGAACGGCUCAUUAAAUCAGUUGCGAUCUACUCGGCGUUCCGCGCCGCCGGAUAACCGUAGUAAUUCUAGGGCUAAUACGUGCGAAGCGCCCGAAGCCGCGAGGCGACGGGCGUUCUCGCCCGGAUGUAGGAACCGACCCCGGGGACCGCCGGGGGCAACCCCGGCGCCCCCCGAGACGGGGCGAACCACGGUGAAAUGACGGAUCGUCGGCCCCGCGCCGGCGACUCGCCGAAUGAGUUUCUGACCUAUCAACUCGAGACGGCGGGGUAGAGGCCCGCCGCGGUAACGACGGGUAACGGGGAAUCAGGGUUCGAUUCCGGAGAGGGAGCCCGAGAAACGGCUACCACUUCCAAGGAAGGCAGCAGGCGCGCAACUUACCCUAAUCUCGAUUCGAGGAGGUAGUGACAAGAAAUACCGAUGCGGGAC